rnacentral:rRNA from 1 species
UACGUAGGGUGCGAGCGUUGUCCGGGAUUAUUGGGCGUAAAGGGCUCGUAGGCGGUUUGUCGCGUCGGGAGUGAAAACGCCGUGCUUAACACGGCGCUUGCUUUCGAUACGGGCAGACUAGAGGUAUGCAGGGGAGAACGGAAUUCCUGGUGUAGCGGUGAAAUGCGCAGAUAUCAGGAGGAACACCGGUGGCGAAGGCGGUUCUCUGGGCAUUACCUGACGCUGAGGAGCGAAAGUGUGGGGAGCGAACAGG